GAAAUCGCCAAAUCCCAGCCAUCCGUCGCUUCCGUGGCCGUCCCGCAAAGCCAACUGUAUUUAUGGACCACCCACAUCCAUCUGCUUCCUUCGCCUCGCCUCACCUCUCCUCAUCUCCAGCUCCAACCUUUGUUGUCCAUAACUAAAGGAAGAUACAUCUCCCGUCUGGUAGCCUGCUUGCUUCCCCGAGUUCUUAUUCUGCUUUGAAUUCGUGAUUUUACUUUAUUUGCUGGUCGAGUUCCGGUUCCGUCUUUCAGCUCUGCGGUGCGUCAGUUUCGGCUGCUGUGUUCGCUCUUGAUUUGCCGGUGAGAUCUCCGAUUCGAGGCUUGCUCCUUUUCUUUCUGGCCCAGUUCAUGUGUUGGUUUGGUUUCGGCGUGCCGAUGAUGAUGCAAAAGCAUCGGUGAAUUCUGGAUGAAUGCGCUUGCGCACCACCAGUGCGCACAGCUCUCGUGAUAUCCACUGCGUAAUACUCUGAGGCACACAUCCUUUGAAUUCGUGAUUUCAUUUUAUUUGGCUGGUUGAGUUCCGGUUUCGUCUUUCAGUUCCGCGCCGCGUGAGUUUCGGCUGCUGUGUUCGUUGAUUAUGCCGGUGAGAUCUCCGAUUCGAGGCACGCUCCUUUUCUUUUUGGUUCAGUUCAUGUGUUCUUUUUUCGUGGUUUUGGUGUCUGCGUGCCGAUGAUGAUGCAAAAGCUUCGGUGAAUUCUGGAUGAAUGCGCUUGCGCACCACCAGUGUGCGCGGCUCUGGUGAUAUCCACUGCGUAAUACUCUGAGGCACGCAUCCAUCCAUCUUGGUUUCUUUUCCGGCCUCGUUUUCAAGGCCGAUUCGAGACGCUAGAUUAGCUUCUUUGGACCUCAAUUGGUCUCCGUCAGACUUGCAAAAUGCCGGCCUUUUUUCUGAUCUUUUUUGCUUUGCAUAACUACUGAAUUCUUGCACAUGGAUAUCAGCGACUGAGAUUUUUCACAGCACAGGGGAAAAUGAUACCGAGCUGGCUACGGCCGUAAAUAUCCUCAGAAGGCAUUCGGGGGCUAGAAGAACCUUCAAAGUUUUCCUCCUUUAGAACUGAUGAAAGAUCUUGUUCUUGAUAGCAGGUGAUCAAGUUUGCUCUGUUUUGAGGGCCUAUUCGGUUUGGAGGAUUUUCAUAGGAAACACAUAGGAACAGGGAUACCGGAGGCAAAUUUCUUAUAGAUGCGUUUGGUUUGUAGGAAAUGUGUACAUGAAUUUCGUAGGAAUACUAUUCAUUUCCUGUGUUUUUGGAGAAAAUUACACAUCCAUUCAAAGCUCAUUUUGCGCAUA